rnacentral:lncRNA from 1 species
GUGCAAAGGAGCAAAAUAAAUAAAAUAAAUAAAUACAGUAGGGGAAGAGGUAGUUGUUUGGGCUAAAUUAUAGAUGGACUAUGUACAGGUGCAGUGAUCUGUGAGCUGCUCUGACAGCUGGUGCUUAAAGCUAGUGAGGGAGAUAAGUGUUUCCAGUUUGUUUCCAGCUUAUCCCACUUGUGUGGGAUAAGUUCAGAUAAAACUCAUCUCUCCUUUUUCUCUCUUUUCAGUGGUUUCCUCUUGAACCAUGGCGAUGUUAAAGGCUAUUCUAAACUCCUCUGCUGCUAUAACAGUCUGACAAUUUUUUUUUUUUUAGAACAUAAAAAAGUUUAAAAAAGAAAGUAAGGGCAUGUUUCCUGUUCACCCCUCCUCUUCCUCCUCUUCCUCAUUCUCCUCCUGCGUCACUUCUGUUGUUCUUGUCUCGCAUUCGGACGCUUGUCAAACAUUUGAUUUACUUUUAUCUUUAAUUUCACAGGAUAUUUUUAUUCCCAUUCUGGCCUUUAUAAGUGAAAUACAAGGGUUAUAUUAGGGACAGAGGAAAUGCACCUACAUUCAUUUUUGUUUAUUUUUGGUUGAUUUUGAGAGAAUCUGUGAAUAUACAUAAGUUCCUUAUUUAUGUAACAUUUCCACAUAGCAUAGGGACAGGAGUGGAAUACACUGCUGUUAGUUUAGAGCCACUCUAUGAAGGUAAUUGCUAAAAUUACACUUUAAUAUUAAGAAGUAAACUACAGAAACUUGUCAUUUGCUGAGAGAGAGAGAGAGAGAGAGAGGAUUAUACUGGUCUUUGGGAAAUAUAUUUCACACUCAUCUGGGACCUGUGAUAUCUCCUGGGCCCCUGACCGAGCUGUCACUUUGAUGGGCUACCGGCUUGGCUAGGCUCUGGACAGCCGCACAAUGAAUGCAGAGCAGCCUGCAAGGGACAGGGACCGUGGUUGCGUCUCAAAUGGCAAAAGUAGUGCACUAUGUAGAGAAUAGGGUGCCAUUUGGGAUACACGCCAAGUUCAGACUUACCACAGCAAGGCCUGGCAUAGCCCUCACAUAGCAAUGCAGUGGAAUAAGCUCAUUAUAUAGAUUUUCAACUCCAUUUUUCC